rnacentral:rRNA from 1 species
AUGGACGAAAGUCUGUCGGAGCAACGCCGCGUGAGUGAUGAAGGUUUUCGGAUCGUAAAACUCUGUUGUUAGGGAAGAACAAGUACCGUUCGAAUAGGGCGGUACCUUGACGGUACCUAACCAGAAAGCCACGGCUAACUACGUGCCAGCAGCCGCGGUAAUACGUAGGUGGCAAGCGUUGUCCGGAAUCAUUGGGCGUAAAGCGCGCGCAGGUGGUUCCUUAAGUCUGAUGUGAAAGCCCCCGGCUCAACCGGGGAGGGUCAUUGGAAACUGGGGAACUUGAGUGCAGAAGAGGAAAGUGGAAUUCCACGUGUAGCGGUGAAAUGCGUAGAGAUGUGGAGGAACACCAGUGGCGAAGGCGACUUUCUGGUCUGUAACUGACACUGAGGCGCGAAAGCGUGGGGAGCGAACAGGAUUAGAUACCCUGGUAGUCCACGCCGUAAACGAUGAGUGCUAAGUGUUAGGGGGUUUCCGCCCCUUAGUGCUGCAGCAAACGCAUUAAGCACUCCGCCUGGGGAGUACGGUC